AUGAUUUUCCUUAUUCGUCAGGAUUCUUACAGCCAGCAAAAUGCCACAGAAGGUCGCUACUCACUGAAUUUCCAGAAGACAAGAAAAUCCAUCCAACUUGUCAUCUCAGCUUCAGAGGUGGAGGACUCCGCAGUGUAUUUCUGUGCACCGAGGGAGCCUACAAUUGAAGAGCAUUAUUUAGGUGACACUCCAGAGAUGUGUUCUCCAGGCUUCGUGACUGUGGUUCUCUUCAUGCUUGGACAAACCCAUGGAGACUCAGUGACCCAGACGGAGGGCCCAGUGACCCUCUCAGAAGAAGCUUCCCUGACUAUAAACUGUACCUAUUCAACAACAGGGUCUCCCACUCUUUUCUGGUAUGUCCAAUAUCCUGGUGAGGGUCUACAGCUCCUACUCAAUGCCUUUAGUGAUAAGAAGAAAAGCAAGAAAGGAUUUGAAGCCACCUUCGACAGCAAAUCCAAAUCCUUCCACUUGGAGAAAGGCUCAGUGCAAGCGUCAGAUUCAGCUGUGUACUACUGUGCCAUGAGUGACACAGUGAUGGGGACUGCAGGGGGAGCUGAGCACAAAACUCUGAGCAGAGCGGGGGCCUGGAUGCUGAGCCUCUCUGCCUGA